rnacentral:rRNA from 1 species
UACGUAGGGGGCAAGCGUUGUCCGGAUUUACUGGCGUAAAGAGCGCGUAGGCGGAAGCUUAAGUGUGGCCUGAAAGCCCCCGGCUCAACCGGGGAGGGUGGCUGCAAACUGGGCUUCUUGAGGUCGAUAGAGGAGAGCGGAAUUCCUGGUGUAGCGGUGAAAUGCGUAGAUAUCAGGAGGAACACCGGUGGCGAAGGCGGCUCUCUGGGUCGGACCUGACGCUGAGGCGCGAAAGCGUGGGGAGCGAACGGG